AGGACGAACGCUAGCGGCGUGCCUAAGGUAUGCAAGUCGAACGGAUCGGAGAGCUUGCUCUCCGGUGAGUGGCGCACGGUCGAGUAACACGUAGACAACCUGCCCCGCAGGGGGGGAUAACCGUGGGAAACUACGGCUAAUACCGCAUGCGGCGCCCCGGCGAUGGCCGGGAGCGCUAAAGGGGGAGCGCAAGCUCUCUCGCUGGGGGAUGGGUCUGCGGCCUAUCAGGUAGUUGGGGGGGUAACAGCCUCCCAAGCCGACGACGGGUAGCGGGUCUGAGAGGAUGAUCCGCCGGACGGGGACUGAGACACGGCCCCGACUCCUUCGGGAGGCAGCAAUGAGGGAUAUUGCACAAUGGGCGCAAGCCUGAUGCAGCGACGCCGCGUGGGUGAGGAAGUCCCUCGGGAUGUAAAGCCCUUUUUGUCGAGGACGAGCCGGUAGAGGACACUCUACCCCGACGGUACUCGGCGAAUAACGCCCCGGCUAACUACGUGCCAGCAGCCGC
rnacentral:rRNA from 1 species